rnacentral:tRNA from 2 species
UUCUGGUUAGCUGAGUUGGCAGAGCACUCCGCUGAAAAUGGAGAUGGUCCUUGGUUCGAUACCAGGACCAGACG